UCUCACUCCAGAGAAAAUAAUCCAGAAAAAUAUAACACCCACACAAUUCGAGAACCUACUCCUUCAUCAAGUCUCUUACGAUCAAGAUGAACUCCCAGAUUGAAGAUUAUCAAUUCGUGGCUAAAUUGGGAAAUCUCAAAACAGUUGUGCUAUUACUGAGAUGUGUGAAUUUUCGAGAGAACGCAAUGUGUUUUGCGUCUGACAACGGUCUGAAAAUCACAGUAGAGGACUCAAAGUGCAUCCAAGCAAAUGCCUACCUCCCAUCGAACGUUUUCCAAGAGUACGACCUGAAGGAGGAAGCUAUUUUCAGGAUCAAUCUUACUGUUCUGGUUGAGUGUCUGGGGAUGUUCUGGAGUCAGAUAUCAUCAGCAGGUACUUCUGUGGCUCUUCAAAUUUAUUACAAAGGUCAUGGCCACCCAGUGACAGUAUUAAUUGAAGAGGAUGGAAUAAUCACGGAUUGUUCAUUAAAAACACAAGAGCCUGAGGAACUCCUCGACUUCCAGAUUCUUCCGGAUAAGGUCCUCAAUAAAGUCAUACUGCAGACAGAAUUACUGAGAGAUAUCUGGAGUGAACUGGAUCCCACGUGUGAAUUUGUUGAGUUGCUACUCUCCCCGAAUCCCCCAUAUUUCCAAAUAGGCACUGAUGGACUAGCUGGUGAAUGCCGGAUAGAAUUACCCCAUGACAGCGAUCUGGUGGACAGUUUUGACUGCAAAAAUGAAGCUAGUUUUUACUACAGAUUCAGUCACAUGAAACCUGCGAUGAAGGCUUUGGGAUGUGCCAACAAAGUUUCAUUGAGAACGAACGACGUUGGAUUGCUCUGCUUUCAGUACAUGGUGAAAACUGAUGAAGGACACACCUGUUAUGUAGAAUAUUAUCUCUCACCACUGCUGGACACUGACGAGUAAAUAAAAUCGAGACACAAUUCCUGAAAUCUUCUAUUGAGCUCUCAAACGCAGGAUGACUGACCAAACGAUAGCCAGAUGUUAAUCUCCUCUGUAUCCAGCGUCAGAGAAAACUGUAUGUAUUUUGUACUGC